GACGAACGCUGGCGGCGUGCUUAACACAUGCAAGUCGAACGGUGAAGCGCCUUCCUUUUUGGUGGGUGUGGAUGAGUGGCGAACGGGUGAGUAACACGUGAGUAACCUGCCCCCUUCUUCUGGAUAACCGCAUGAAAGUGUGGCUAAUACGGGAUAUUCUGGGUCUGUCGCAUGAUGGGUCUGGGAAAGAUAUUGUUUCGGUGGGGGAUGGGCUCGCGGCCUAUCAGCUUGUUGGUGGGGUGAUGGCCUACCAAGGCGGUGACGGGUAGCCGGCCUGAGAGGGUGGACGGUCACACUGGGACUGAGACACGGCCCAGACUCCUACGGGAGGCAGCAGUGGGGAAUAGUGCACAAUGGGCGCAAGCCUGAUGCAGCGACGCCGCGGGAGGGAUGGAGGCCUGCGGGUUGUGAACCUCUUUCGCCAGUGAAGCAGGGCUGCCUCGUGUGUGGGUGGGUUGACGGUAGCUGGAUAAGAAGCGCCGGCUAACUACGUG
rnacentral:rRNA from 1 species